GUGGGGAAUAUUGGACAAUGGGCGAAAGCCUGAUCCAGCCAUGCCGCGUGUGUGAAGAAGGUCUUCGGAUUGUAAAGCACUUUAAGUUGGGAGGAAGGGCAGUAAGUUAAUACCUUGCUGUUUUGACGUUACCGACAGAAUAAGCACCGGCUAACUUCGUGCCAGCAGCCGCGGUAAUACGAAGGGUGCAAGCGUUAAUCGGAAUUACUUGGCGUAAAGCGCGCGUAGGUGGUUUUGUAAGUUGGAGGUGAAAUCCCCGGGCUCAACCUGGGAACUGCCUCCAAAACUGCAUGACUAGAGUACGGUAGAGGGUAGUGGAAUUUCCUGUGUAGCGGUGAAAUGCGUAGAUAUAGGAAGGAACACCAGUGGCGAAGGCGACUACCUGGACUGAUACUGACACUGAGGUGCGAAAGCGUGGGGAGCAAACAGGAUUAGAUACCCCGGUAGUCC
rnacentral:rRNA from 1 species